CUUCAGAGGGGCCCUCAGUGAUUAAUGGCCCGAGCGGAGAAGGAAAAACAGUGAACUGCUUCACAAAUUCGUCUUCGUUUGUUCGGGACUGUUCUUCUUUCUUUGCCGUUUUCUUUUAAAUUACUUUUUCCACUUAAGGCCUCGAACAAACAUUCCAAAGAAACAGGGGAGAGAAGUUUAGAGCGAUGACGAUCUUCCCCUGGAACCUCAGAGCCGCUCGGUGCCGUGUGCACCACAGGCACCGGAAUUUUAAACAGGCGCCACGGAGACAGACGGGAGAGACGCGAUAACAAACUUCUCCUCAGUCGGAGGAAACUCGGAGGAAGCUGCCGGCUGAUUGGCGGAGUCCGGGCAGCAGCGGUGAUCUUACCAUGAACAGCAGCUUUAAAGAAACUGAUUCUCACUUUUCUACACAUCUAAAGGUUUUUUGUGCUUUUCGCAGUUGUUCCCGAUAAAAAAAAUUGUAAGUUCUAAUUAUUUUUAAUUCAAUAACCACUGAAUCUUUCUUAUGAAAAUAUGAAUUCUUGCUUCUUUUCAACAAGUAAAAGUUGAGUAAGUCUUGUUGCUGCAAAACUUUUCUUCUUAAACUUCAUUUCAUUUAAUUUCUCCACAUACUGAAUCCAGGGUCCGAAGACGUUCAUGUUGAAGUUAAACUUCAUGUGAGAUAAAGAGUAAAUUUCCUAAAUAGAAAACACAUCAAAUAUAUAAAGAACUUGAAUCAAGAAUUAUUUUUUUAAAGGUAAAAUACAAACAUGAAUUCACGUCUGUUCUGCUUU